rnacentral:rRNA from 1 species
AUGAACGCUGGCGGCGUGCCUCAUACAUGCAAGUCGAGCGCACGGACGAGAAGCUUGCUUCUCUGAUGUUAGCGGCGGACGGGUGAGUAACACGUGGAUAACCUACCUAUAAGACUGGGAUAACUUCGGGAAACCGUAGCUAAUACCGGAUAAUAUUUUGAACCGCAUGAUUCAAAAGUGGAAGACGGUCUUGCUGUCACUUAUAGAUGGAUCCGCGCUGCAUUAGCUAGUUGGUAAGGUAACGGCUUACCAAGGCAACGAUGCAUAGCCGACCUGAGAGGGUGAUCGGCCACACUGGAACUGAGACACGGUCCAGACUCCUACGGGAGGCAGCAGUAGGGAAUCUUCCGCAAUGGGCGAAAGCCUGACGGAGCAACGCCGCGUGAGUGAUGAAGGUCUUCGGAUCGUAAAACUCUGUUAUUAGGGAAGAACAUAUGUGUAAGUAACUGUGCACAUCUUGACGGUACCUAAUCAGAAAGCCACGGCUAACUACGUG